rnacentral:rRNA from 1 species
UAACUACGGGCCAGCAGCCGCGGUAAUACGUAGGUGGCAAGCGUUAUCCGGAAUCAUUGGGCGUAAAGGGUGCGUAGGUGGCGUACUAAGUCUGUAGUAAAAGGCAAUGGCUCAACCAUUGUAAGCUAUGGAAACUGGUAUGCUAGAGUGCAGAAGAGGGCGAUGGAAUUCCAUGUGUAGCGGUAAAAUGCGUAGAUAUAUGGAGGAACACCAGUGGCGAAGGCGGUCGCCUGGUCUGUAACUGACACUGAGGCACGAAAGCGUGGGGAGCAAAUAGGAUUAGAUACCCUAGUAGUCCACGCCGUAAACGAUGAGAACUAAGUGUUGGGGAAACUCAGUGCUGCAGUUAACGCAAUAAGUUCUCCGCCUGGGGAGUAUGCACGCAAGUGUGAAACUCAAAGGAAUUGACGGGGGCCCGCACAAGCGGUGGAGUAUGUGGUUUAAUUCGAAGCAACGCGAAGAACCUUACCAGGGCUUGACAUCCCACUAACGAAGCAGAGAUGCAUUAGGUGCCCUUCGGGGAAAGUGGAGACAGGUGGUGCAUGGUUGUCGUCAGCUCGUGUCGUGAGAUGUUGGGUUAAGUCCCGCAACGAGCGCAACCCUUGUCGCAUGUUACCAGCAUCAAGUUGGGGACUCAUGCGAGACUGCCGGUGACAAACCGGAGGAAGGUGGGGAUGACGUCAAAUCAUCAUGCCCCUUAUGACCUGGGCUACACACGUGCUACAAUGGAUGGUGCAGAGGGAAGCGAAGCCGCGAGGUGAAGCAAAACCCAUAAAACCAUUCUCAGUUCGGAUUGUAGUCUGCAACUCGACUACAUGAAGUUGGAAUCGCUAGUAAUCGCGAAUCAGCAUGUCGCGGUGAAUACGUUCUCGGGCCUUGUACACACCGCCCGUCACACCACGAGAGUUGAUAACACCCGAAGCCGGUGGCCUAACCGCAAGGAAGGAGCUGUCUAAGGUGGGAUUGAUGAUUGGGGUGAAGUCGUAACAAGGUAUCCCUACGGGAACGUGGGGAUG